AUGGCUUCCAGGGUUUACCGGGACCAGCAGGUGCUCCUGGAGAGGCAGGAAAACCUGGUGAUCAGGGUAUUCAUGGUGAAGGCGGCCCAAUAGGCCAAACUGGACCAAGGGGUGAACGUGGGAUUCCAGGAGAAAGAGGAGAACUGGGACCUUCUGGUUUGCCUGGAGCCAAAGGUAUCCCAGGAGCACCUGGUCCUGAUGGCUCAAAGGUAAAACUAAAUAUAUAUUAUUAGUACUGAAACACAGGAAUAAUGCUUCAUCUGUUUAAAUUAUUUCAGAAUAGUAUGGCCCACAGAUUUCAAGUAUUUGUUUUAACAAUCUAAGAGAUGAGUCAGAAUAAUUUUCUGUGCUAAUCUACAACAACCCAGAUUGUUGACGGAUCUUAAUGUACUGUAGAUUGAGCACAGAAUACACCCAGAAAUAAGCACACUGCAUCAGUUUCACUAUGUGUCACGAUUCACACUGGGAGAACGGGAACGAAGGAGCAAGGAGACGAGGAGUAAAGCAAAUUCCAGGCAGCAGGCAGCUCGGGGAGCCAU